GAUGAACGCUGGCGGCGUGCUUAACACGUGCCAGUCGAACGAUGAAGCCCAGCUUGCUGGGUGGAUUAGUGGCGAACGGGUGAGUAACACGUGAGUAACCUGCCCUUAACUCUGGGAUAAGCCUGGGAAACUGGGUCUAAUACCGGAUAGGAGCGCCUACCGCAUGGUGGGUGUUGGAAAGAUUUAUCGGUUUUGGAUGGACUCGCGGCCUAUCAGCUUGUUGGUGAGGUAAUGGCUCACCAAGGCGACGACGGGUAGCCGGCCUGAGAGGGUGACCGGCCACACUGGGACUGAGACACGGCCCAGACUCCUACGGGAGGCAGCAGUGGGGAAUAUUGCACAAUGGGCGAAAGCCUGAUGCAGCGACGCCGCGUGAGGGAUGACGGCCUUCGGGUUGUAAACCUCUUUCAGUAGGGAAGAAGCGAAAGUGACGGUACCUGCAGAAGAAGCACCGGCUAACUACGUG
rnacentral:rRNA from 1 species